AUGGUAUCCAGCCUCUGAAGUAUGACCACGGAUUUGCCAUUUUCAGUCCAGAUGGGCAGCAUCGACAUGACGGAUCCCUUUCCCCAUGCAGAAGGUCCAUUAGUGUGAGUGCACUUGUAGGUUUCAUUGUGGAGAUUUAGCCACAACAUGGCCUGUUAAUGCAUUUCUCUAAUGUAUAGAAACCACUUGUGCAUCGUUUGUUGAAAACAAAUGACACAUUAAUGCAUCUUUUCUUCUUCAAAAAGUGGGUCUGCAUACUAACCUGGUUUAUGGCAGGUUUGUCUGAAGUGUCUGCAAAAGACACUUUUUACAUUCCUAUUUACAUUCUGACACCACACAACAUUUCCAUUUUGAAAUGUCUGUGUUUACUAAAUGCCUGAGAUGCAGUUGUUUACGGCUUGUUCAACCUCCUUGUGUCUAAUGUAUCCUCCUCACAAAAUAAUAAAAGGAGGUCAGUAUGCAGUAUUUCCCAGACAAUGUGACUGAUCAGACUCAAAUGCUGCAAAUAUGAUGAUGUAGUUCUAUUAUUUUGCACCGUUUUGAGUAUUCUUAUUAUUAAAAUAUGAAGAGCAAAAUGUCGCUUGUUCACUGUUGUGUCUCUUGUUUCUGUUUCUCAGAUGUUGUCAGACACCUCUCAAGGGGAAUUUGAUGACACAGAGAUUCAACACCUGCAAGAAAAGGCUAGCAGACUCCUGCUGAAAGGGUAUGACAACCACAUAGUAACGCUAAUGGUAAAUGAAUGCAUUCCUUCAGUGCAAGUCACUCGUUUCUGUCUGACAGGGAAUGCACUCCGAGUGAUGGAUCAAACCCUGUCAGCUCAGAGGAUCUGGGAUGCUCAGACUUCUCUUCUCCAGUCAGCGUAUAUGAGCAAGUACGAAGACCUUUUAUUCCCAUUAAGACAAGAGUAUCAGGUAAUUAAACUUCUUUUCAAUUUUAACCCACUCAAUGCUGUUUUUCCUCAUGCAACUUGUAUGUCUUUGUUUUUUCAUGCUUUUUAUUUUAAAAUGUUCUGCUGUGUUAUAAUACAACGUGCUUUUACAAAAUCAUUUACAGAAAAGUUCAGCUCAGACGCAGUUCAGAACAUGUUCUGCCAAAAUUCCUCUGUCCUUCCUUUUGUGGUGCCGCCCACACGGCGGGAAGAGGACAUCUUGUUCCAGUGGCGUUUAAGGAGAAAGAUGGAGCAGGCCAGGGAGGGAUCGCAAUCCCUGCAACACGCCGGUCUUCAUGAUCCCACAUCCAACUGGCCGGCUCCCAGUUCAAGCCGUCUCUCUGCCAGAGGAGCGGCUUACAAGCAACAGCAGCCUCCAGAAUGCUCACAGCAAUCUUCACAGCCACACAUCAUCGCGGCCCGGCCACAAACCGAAGAAGCCCCCAGAUCAUGUCCCCAAGCUUCAGAUCCAACUCCCUUCCCUGCCGCUGUUGCCUCUGGCUCUUCAGUCUCUCAACCACAGGCUGUUGUGCAAGUGCCUGCACACAUGCAUUUACUCUGUGACGUCGUGCCCUGUCCCGUCCGGUCAUCCCUUGCGAGCAUUCAUCGACACCUUUCUGAAGGAAUCGAUGGGUCGCAGACAAAGGACGUCUCUGAAAAGACCCAAAAGCCACCUGAGCAUUCGCCUCCUCUACCACCUGCAUCCUCUGGAGCUAUGGGAAGAGCUGAGCUGAUUCACCAGAGCAGGUCUGAGGGAGGAAAGAAAGAGGAAGACGAGACAAGAGUGUCGGAGACAAAGAAGGAGCCGUCUUUGAGAAAGAAGAAGAAAUCCACAAGAUGUACUGCGCAAAGGGAACACGUUGAUGGCCCCGCUCCUACAAACAGGAGAUUUUCAUAUAAAACCGUUCCCAAAAUAGUCGUGCCACGGCAACAGGAAGGAAGCGAGGGGUUCCAGAGCUCUGCUGGUGUUCGUGCACCACCCACGUCUCCGAUCCACAGCGCCCUCGGACAGGUAGUUUCGGAGGUAUUAUUUCCCACGGUGGAUCCAUCUCCUGGACAAAAGGACCCGGUCUGGUUGGGUUCUUCUCCUUGUGCUGCCUCUGAACCUCCACAAUCCUCAGUUCCUCCACGCACUGCACACAACUCUAUGGAGGUCAUUUCCCAGCUGCUGCAAGAAGCUGAAGAUUCAGAUGAAAAAGAGUUUGAAGAUGACCCUUUAUUACAAGUUCUUCGCAGGCAGAGGAAAUGGGUAAAGAAGCAGUUCAGUGAAGUAGACGCCGUGUUGAAUGAAUUCCUGGAAGAGUGA
ensembl:lncRNA